rnacentral:tRNA from 1 species
GAGACCCUAGUAAACUUCAAUAUUACACAAUCUUGUCAAGAUUGAAUAACGCGCCCCGUGAGUCUCC